UACGUAGGGUGCAAGCGUUGUCCGGAUUUAUUGGGCGUAAAGAGCUCGUAGGCGGUUUGUCGCGUCGGAUGUGAAAACCCAGGGCUCAACCCUGGGCCUGCAUUCGAUACGGGCAGACUAGAGUAUGGCAGGGGAGACUGGAACUCCAGGUGUAGUGGUGAAAUGCGUAGAUAUCUGGAAGAACACCAAAGGCGAAGGCAGUGUCCUGGGUGGUCGCUGACGCUGAGAGGCGAAAGCCAGGGGAGCGAACGGG
rnacentral:rRNA from 1 species